GUCAAUAUGUCCGAGUGGUUAAGGAGAUAGACUUGAAAUCUAUUGGGCUUUGCCUGCAUAGGUUUGAAUCCUGCUGUUGCCG
rnacentral:tRNA from 1 species